rnacentral:rRNA from 1 species
UACGAAGGGGGCUAGCGUUGCUCGGAAUGACUGGGCGUAAAGGGCGCGUAGGCGGUUCGUACAGUCAGACGUGAAAUUCCCGGGCUCAACCUGGGGGCUGCGUUUGAUACGUGCGGGCUUGAGUUCGGAAGAGGGUCGUGGAAUUCCCAGUGUAGAGGUGAAAUGCGUAGAUAUCGAGAGGAACACCUGCGGCGAAGGCGGGUUGCUGGGCUGACACUGACGCUGAUGCGCGAAAGCUAGGGGAGCGAACGGG